UCAAUCGAGAGGGAGGGGGAGAAGGAGAGAAAGAGAGAGAUCGACGACUUCAAAAGAGAGUUGCAGAAACGAGCUCCGAACUGCAAUUCGUCAACUCAGCGACCGUUGCCUCUACUCUGCUGCCAAAUGGGCAGCGGAGCAGUUGGUGGGGAUCGAGCAGGAUCCGGCCUAAUUCACACCGUCGCACACGAGAUUCCAGCUAGGUAGUUCCAGCAUUCGCCGGAGAUUUCGCACUAAUGAGAUUGCUUCCACACCAACCGCCGGCGUAUCUUCCGUAUCUACACCAGUGCUGGAGGAGGACGAAGCCAUAGAUGGUGAUUUCUACCUUUUAGCGAAGUCGUACUUUGAUUUCCGGGAGUACCGUAGGGCUGCUCAUGUGCUUCGUGAUCAGACUGGAAAGAAAGCCGUGUUCUUACGAUGUUAUGCUCUGUAUCUGGUUUUGAACUUUGAUUAUGUUGUGCGUGUGGACGCUUUCUACCCUGGCAAGGGGUAGGCAUGGAGAAGGGGGAAGUUCCAGGUUUAAUUCCAUGUCAUAGCAAAAAGAAAAA